rnacentral:rRNA from 1 species
GGGUGAGUAAUGUCUGGGAAACUGCCUGAUGGAGGGGGAUAACUACUGGAAACGGUAGCUAAUACCGCAUAACGUCGCAAGACCAAAGAGGGGGACCUUCGGGCCUCUUGCCAUCAGAUGUGCCCAGAUGGGAUUAGCUUGUUGGUGGGGUAACGGCUCACCAAGGCGACGAUCCCUAGCUGGUCCGAGAGGAUGACCAGCCACACUGGAACUGAGACACGGUCCAG